UGACAUCUGUAAACGAGUCCCCUCAGGCC
rnacentral:piRNA from 1 species